CCUGCCCCGGCCCCGCUCCCGUUCCACCCCGGCCCGGUCCCAUCCCAGCCCCGCUCCUGUUCCACCGCGGCCCCGUCCCAUCCCGGCCCCGGGGCGCGGCUGGGCACGGGCAGAGGCGCUGCCGCCGGCUCCGCUCCCUCCCUGCCCGAGCCCGCGGCUCGAACCGCGCUGUCGCCUCGUCCCCGUGGUCAGCGUUAAUGGCAAACCACGGAGCUGUGUUAAUUCCUCACCUGCCUCUCAAGCCCUGCUCAUUUUCAAGGUGUUUGGGUUUGCCUUUUUUUUUUUUAAAAACAAGUUAAUGUGUCUGAUGAGUGAAUGGGAUCCCGAGCCCUUAUCCAGGGGAGGCAGUGCCACACGCUCCUGUCCUGGGGAUAGGAACAGCCAUGGCCGUUGCCAAAAAUAGGGCAACACAUCUGACCCGGUGAAUCCGUGCUGCUCCACCUGGAACAUCGGGGACAUCACUGCUCAGGAAAGGAAGAACAUUGGUGCUGCAGCAUCCUCGAUGGGAACACUCCCGCUCCACCCACGGCCCCCCUGCUUUAGGCUUUAUUGUAAUAAAUAUUAUUAAAUUAUUAAAUAUAAAUGCUGAAAUCA